UCUAUUUUCAAUAAUAUUUUUUUAUUCUUAUUUUAUAUAUUACAGCUCUGAAAUGUAUGUCACACAUGGAUUGUGAAUAUUGCAAAGAUGGAGUUUGCAUAGAUGGUUAUUGUAGGUGCUUGAUAAGUGCUUAUAGUACAAAUAAAGGUUAAAUUGAACAUGAUCACGACAAGCAAGCGAUGGAGCUUUUCUUGUGGAACUAAAGUACUAGAGACUAGUACUUCACUUUAUUUUAAGAUUUUUUUUACUAUCGUUGAUUUUCUGGUAUGGGUAGAGAUCUUUGAUAUUCAAUAGUAUCUUUUAAAUCAGCUACUCGAUUUAAUAAUUGUUUGUAUUGUUCAAGUUUUAGUGUUUACACUUGUUUUAUUUUUUAGUUUUCAAAGUUAUGAGUUAUAAAAUUAUUGUUAUUAUCUAUAAAAAUAAUAUCAUGUUUUUGAAAUGUGCAAA